rnacentral:rRNA from 1 species
GAUGAACGCUGGCGGCGUGCCUAACACAUGCAAGUCGAACGGAACAUUCGUUUUCGGAUGAAUGUUUAGUGGCGAACGGGUGAGUAACGCGUGAGUAACCUGCCUUUCAGAGGGGGAAAACAGCUGGAAACGGCUGCUAAUACCGCAUAAUCUAAUCGGAUGGCAUUGUGUGAAUUUCAAAGAUUUAUCGCUGAAAGAUGGAGUCGCGUCUGAUUAGGUAGUUGGUGAGGUAAUGGCUCACCGAGGCAACGAUCAGUAGCCGGACUGAGAGGUUGAACGGCCACAUUGGGACUGAGAUACGGCCCAGACUCCUAAGGGAGGCAGCAGUGGGGAAUAUUGGUCAAUGGGGGAAACCCUGAACCAGCAACGCCGCGUGAAGGAAGAAGGCUUUCGGAUUGUAAAACUCUGUCUUCAGGGACGAUAAUGACGGUACCUGAGGAGGAAGCCACGGCUAACUACGUGCCAGCCGCCGCGGUAA